UUAAAUUAAGAAAAAAAAAUAAUAUUUUUUUAAGGAAAUGAGUGCAAUUUUUAGGCUUAAUUUGAGGAACCGUUUAGGCUAAAAAUUUGAGGAAAAAAGGCUUCAUAUUUAUUUUAAGAGAAUUGGUCCAAUUAUCUGGGUUUGAUUGAGUCACCUUCAUUUGAAUCUCAACAAUGGCUGUGGUCAGACGGCGUUUUGAAGGAGCAGACGAUCAGUGUAAAAUAUUAAGAGCAACUUCUGAGAUGACAAUGGAGCUUGUGGUGAAAGAAAAAAUGUCAAAAACCCUUGCUCUCCGAAGACAUGAGGUGGUUGAAUUGUGCCCAACUUGCAGAAUUUAAAGAUCACUGGCCUGCUCUGUUUGACAUUCUCCAGAUUAAUGAAGAGUUUAGGAGAAUUACUACUCUGCACCUUGAGCCAACAUUUAUUAAGAUGUUGGAUUACUACACUCCUAAACUUUUCACAAUAUUUUCCUGCAAAGGAGGAGCACUCGGACAGAUUUUGAAGAAGAAAACGGGUGCCAUACAGCAGACCUCACAUCAAAACAUAGAACAGACAAGAGAUGUUGUCCUCCGUUGCUUGGUCUAUUACUUGGGUGAAAAGGAGGAAGACCUCAUCCAGGAGUACAAUGUAAGUGUCUAAAACUAAUUCAGAUAUUUGUUUGCAGAAAACUGCAAUUAGCAUUUGUUUUCCUUUACAAAAACAGAAAUACAUCUUAAACAUAAGUACGUUCCUCAUGCAAAAACAUUCUUGCACUAGUGUCAGUGUCACGCAACGUGCCGAACGGGUGAUCGCUCAGGCAGCGCGAGGGAACAGGCAGGCAGGCGGAAAACAGGGCAAACUGGGGGUUUAUUGGGGAAUGCGGGUCGACAAACACCAGGUAACAUCAAUGACAGACAAAGGACUCAGGUAAGACAUGGACUGAAAUACACAGGACUGAUCAAAGUAACUAGACACAGCUGGGUACAAUCGGGAAAGAACACGUGGGUAAUCAGGGGAGCGUGGCACACAGGAGGAGCGGAUGAGCUGGGCAUGAAAGAAGGAGCGCCUAGGAGGAGGCGACGGACGGGACGAGGGAAACGAGACCUGGAACAGAAGAACAAAAUCAACGAGAGACGGGAAACAGGACCAAGGCACAAAACAGGGCAAGCGACAGGACGUAGGAGUUGAUAAAGGGCAGGGAAGGCGGACAGACAGACCAGGAAUGGGGUCAGAGAGGGAACAGGUGGAACAAACGGGCCAGGAGUGAAAGGAGGGAACACCGGGGAACAAGGAGCAAAGAAGGGUGGAACAGAGGGACGAGGAGCAAAAAACGAAGGGACAAAGACAGGAGGGGGAGUCGAGAAUGGAGGGGCGAAAGCAGGAGAGUAGGGCGAGAAGGAGGGGGAAUGCAGGGUCG